rnacentral:rRNA from 1 species
UACGGGGGGGGCAAGCGUUGUUCGGAAUUACUGGGCGUAAAGGGCGCGUAGGCGGUGCUCUAAGUCGGAUGUGAAAACUCUGGGCUCAACCCAGAGCCUGCAUCCGAAACUGGAGUGCUAGAGUUCUGGAGGGGGUAGCGGAAUUCCUGGUGUAGCGGUGAAAUGCGCAGAUAUCAGGAGGAACACCGAUGGCGAAGGCAGCUCGCUGGGACGGUACUGACGCUGAGGCGCGAAAGCGUGGGGAGCAAACAGG